CCUACGGGUGGCAGCAGUGGGGAAUAUUGCACAAUGGGGGAAACCCUGAUGCAGCGACGCCGCGUGAGUGAAGAAGUAUUUCGGUAUGUAAAGCUCUAUCAGCAGGGAAGAAAAUGACGGUACCUGAUUAAGAAGCCCCGGCUAACUACGUGCCAGCAGCCGCGGUAAUACGUAGGGGGCAAGCGUUAUCCGGAUUUACUGGGUGUAAAGGGAGCGUAGACGGCAGCACAAGUCUGGAGUGAAAUGCCGGGGCUUAACCCCGGAACUGCUUUGGAAACUGUGCAGCUAGAGUGCAGGAGAGGUUAGUGGAAUUCCUAGUGUAGCGGUGGAAUGCGUAGAUAUUAGGAGGAACACCAGAGGCGAAGGCGGCUAACUGGACUGCAACUGACGCUGAGGCACGAAAGUGUGGGGAGCAAACAGGAUUAGAUACCCUGGUAGUC
rnacentral:rRNA from 1 species